rnacentral:lncRNA from 1 species
GACCAGAGAAAGACAUGAGCAGGAGUGUGUAGGUGAUUGUGCCCUAGAUAUGUGGAAAGGCACUGGUGUGGGGACAGGAAGGUGUGGGGGCUGGAGGCACGGAGUGAGGAUGUUCAACAGCAUGAAGUGUAGAGAAUCAACAGCCUUCACAUCCAGACUUCACGAAAUUUAAGGAAUGAUCUUGUCUGGUCACAUUCCAGAAGCAGGAGGAAAAAAAAAUAGCAUUUCUGAAGCCAAUGAGUGCCAGUCACUUGAAGAUGGUAAUCUGAACAGGAAGAGCACUGUGACUUACUACUGUCCUUCAGAGAAAAAGGAAGAGGUGCACGUCACAGACGGGAAGUCAGUGAACCAGAGGCAAAGUGAAGUUUAUAGCAUGAACGACUUGUUUUUUUGGUACAAUCCUGUACAUUAAUUGUUACCAGCACGUAUCUCGGAGCUCCUGUCCACACAAUAGUCAUUACUAACACCUGAGUUGAUCUGCACAAGGGCACGGAUUACACGGAAAAAGACAAGUGUUCCCACAUUUUCUAUUACCUGGAGAAGAUUCUUCCUUAAAUGUUAGAAGAAUUGGUGUAUUAUGUCCAGCUUGCAACAACAAAUUUCAAGGUAUGCUGAAAGGCAAAAAACAAUCUGAAGAGGCAAUGCAAGCAUCAGACCAGAUUCAAUAUGGGAGACAUUCUGGAAUCAUCUGACUGGAAAUAUCGCUUACUGGGGGGAAGCCAGCUGCCGUGUCAUGAGUGCCCACUGUGGAAAUGAACUGAAACCUCCUGCCGACAGCCACCCAGGUGAGCUUGGAAUUGGAUGCUCCAGUCCAGCCAAACCCUCAGUUUACUGUAACCCCAGUUGACAGCUUGGCUACUACCUCCCGGGACACCCUGAAGCAGAACCACCCAGCUAAGCUCCUCCUGAAUUCCUGACUCACAGAAACUAUGCAAGAUAAUAAAUAUUUGUUGUUUUAUCUCUUUAAGUUUUGCGGUAAUUUGUUAUGAAGCAAUAAAUAACUAAUAGACUACCCAUGAAUUAAUUCUUUUACUAAUUCAUUUAUUCAACAAGUACCUGUUAAAGUCUACAGUCUUUCAAUCUCUGUAACACACUUCAGUGCGAUAAUAAAACAAUAUAUC